rnacentral:piRNA from 1 species
UUGUAAAAUGUCUCCUUACAUC